CUCUGAGGUGACUGGGGCCACAGGCGGAGCCUGUUCACAAACCCCUAGUGGUUGCAAGCCAUGCCUCCCUCUGGUUUCUGAGGUGACUGCUGUGGUUUGUCUCUAGUGCCUAUAGAUCAUGCAAGCUUAGCCCCUGCUGCCCUUAGCCCACACAAGAGGUUCCUGGCCACCUGCAGCCAGUAGGAGAAGUGCCCGGUCUCCCAGAGCUGGGCAAGGGGGUUCUCCCACCCGCAAUUGUAGAGACGCCCCGCCCUCUGAGAGCCACGCAUGCGCAGGGAAAGUUUCUUAUGGCAUGGGGCUCCCUCCUCUGGCCCCUCCCCAACAAUGGCACCUUGCUUCUCCUGCAGGCCCAGACCUCCUCCUGGGUUUCCCCUGCUGUGGCCUUCCGCUCCCCAGCCGGUGGCACACCGCUCCCUAGCCCCUCAGGCUGUCUCCACACAGCCAAUCCUAGUCCUCGCCUUGGAACUUCCCUCUGGAGCCUGAGUCUCAGCGCCCAGGUCCCCCCAGAGCGUCUCAGGCUAGGGUAUCCUGGUCGGUGGUGCGGAUGCAUCUGUGCAGCUCUCGCUCUGCUUUGCCCUCCUCAGUCCAGCUGCUGCACUUUUCUUGGCAACUCUGAGGUCUCUGCGUCUCAGCUGAUCUCCCCGUCGGUUAGUGCUUUCAGUUUGGUCUCCUGGGUCAAGAAAGUGUGCUGUCUUGUUUGACACCGCCAAGGCACUGCUCCAACUCAGGCUAGAUGGGAGCCAUGAAUGAGGACUCGAGGGAGAACAGAUGAAGAAAAGAAUGUGCAGGUGUGCACAUGACCCAAAGGGAAGAAGGUGGAGAUAGGAGGCAGCCAUUUGUUCAGCCAUCCCAGAUUGAGUUCUUUCUCUGGACCAAACACUUAGGACAAAGCUACAAUGUUUGAGAAUCUCAGUCAAGUGGGAGCAGACCAAGAAGAACACAGGGAAUCCCAGUUUGGAAGAUAGAUUAUAUGCUCUCCCCAGGUCAUAGUCAGAAGAACAGACCCAUAUCCCAGGAGACAGAGGCAGGUGGCACGCUGUGUAAACCGUGAAAAGCAUUAUGAAAAUAUCUGCAAAUCGUGUGCUGUCUCCAAAUAUUUCAACAUAAAUAUUUGCUGGAGGCAGGUCCAACUUCCCAGCGCAAGAGGAGGACAGAAGGUGAGCAAAGAAAGAAAAUACAGCACGAGUAAAACAGCAUCCCUCUUCCUGUUGAGAUGCGAAGGCGCCAGCACACUGCGCUCCAUGUUCUCAUACUCCGCGUGUGCAGACAGAUGGCGAAUCCGCGUCGAUGCUGGGAUGGGUUCUGGGCCCUGCAUGAUGAUGCGAGAAAAGGGAAUCGAAGUCGGGUCCACUGCCGUCUGCACUGUAAGGAGGUUCCUGAAAGCCUGCUGCCCACGAGACGGAACCUUCUAUGAUUGCUGCUGAUGAAGGCUCUCCCCAGCGUUGCUUAUGCAGUGACAGCAAGCAAAACGGCCACCUCACACAGCGGCUUCCUCGGAGUGGGGAGGAGGGACAUCGAUGGAGCAUCUCUGAGCUCCUAGGCCAAGGAUGAGAUCCGAAGCACAGUUUUGAACUACACAGCAGCAGCUGCAGCAAUGCUAGAUCCUUUAACCUACUGUGCUGGCCCUGGAAUUGAAGCUGAGUCCUUGGUGCUGCAGGUACGCCACUGAUCUUGUUGUGGGAAUUCCUAUAUUGAUGAAUUUUAAAAAUGGUUGUGUACUUAUGCUAUUGAGAACUGAAGAAAAGUGGAAUUGCACUUUCAGCCCUGUAGUCACAGUAGUAAUACAAAAUUUUAUUUUUCAAUGAAUUUAUUUUUCAAGUUCGUUGUUUAAAGGAACAGUAAGUAAAUAAUAUUAACGAUGGUACCCAGAAAAUGCAAAAAUUGUAAAGGCAGUAAGAGACUGACACUUUGACAAACAGUGACCUGUUGGCAUUGAUUUGUGAGUGCAAGUAGUUGCUGUAACAAACAAGCCCUUUGUUUCAGUGGCUAUAGUGGUCUGUCAUACCUAUGGCCCCCGGUAAACUAUAUCUUUUACUAUGCACACUUGGUAUAGCCAUCUCUCCACAAAUUGGGCUGACUCUGUGACUUGCCCUAAUGUAGAGAACACAGUGGAGGUGAUGCUAGUUCCAUUCCAAGCCUAAGCCUUAGGAAGGUCUGGCAGGUUCCACUUUCCCAUUCUUGGCCACCCUGAGCUCCAGAGAAGAAGUCUGGCUAUGCUGUUGGAGAGACAAAUGGAGGACCACAGGAGAGGCCAUGGGGAAGAGGGAGAGGUCCUGAUAGUGAGAAAAGGAAGGGGUCCUGAUGAGAAAGAGAGAGAGAGAGGCCAGGCAUCCUAGUACCCUAGCUGAACCCAGCCUCCAGCCAACCCACCAGCUGAACAUGUUGGUUGCAUGAGUAACCAGCUACAAGACUGGUGGAGGAAAUGCCCAGCUAAGCCCAACCCGUAGGCUGAAUUGUGUGCAAUUAAAAAUAGCUGUUGUCUUAACCCACUAAGCUUUGAGAUGGCUUGCUAUGCAAUAAUAGGUAAUGAUAUAGAGGGUUUUGAUAGAAUGCAAGUUUCUUUCUCAUUCACCAUAUACUUCAGUGUAGGCUGAGAGCCAGGGGUGCUCUGCUCCAUGCUGUCAUUCAGGGAUUCAGUAUCUUUCCAUAGAGUGGCUCCAACAUCUUCCAGGGCCUUGGAGAGCUCAUCCAGAGCAUCUACACCUGAUUACAGAGGAUUUUGCAGGAGGCGUUUGGUGAGGGGUGAAGCUCUGAAAAUGGCUGGCAGUUACAUGGCCCCACUUAACUUAAAGGGGGGUGGAAAAUGUGACUGAACCAUGUGACCAGGAUAAAUAGGAAAAGUACAGAUUUGGAGAGCCCUACCUUCUCCUCACGCAUGUUAUUAAAACACAUACAUCCCAUACACAACAACACUAAUGACAGUGAGUCUUGUGCUAGAACAUGAAUAAAUGGCUUUGGGGACCCUGACAAAAGAGCAGUGAGUUUUGCUUGGAGCCAGAUGGCCAGUCAGCAAAUACAUAGAGUGGUGAGUAACGUUUUGGACUGAGUUUUGAAGGAUGACUAGGAAUUUUCCAGCCAGAAGGGGAAGGUGAAUCUAGGCAGAGGGUAAAUGGCCAUGAAAGAAAUAUUAUAGGCAGAAAGAAGUUAAAGAAAUAGCCACGAAAUGAAUGAAACUAGGUUCGGAUGACCCGUUUUGAGGCCUCAGAGUAGGAUGGCGUUAGAGGACCCCUGGGGUUUUCAGAUACAUGAACUUUUAGGUUGAACCCAUUUUGAGCUGAGUUCAGUUACUUGUAAACCAAAGACCCCUGAUAAGUAAUCCUUCCUCAUUUAAAAUUCUAGGAUUAUUAAUUUCUAAACAAGUAAUAUCCAUUGCAUCAUCCAAGACCAAUCACCCAAAAGUGCAGUAGGAGACAGCUAGAUAAUAAACAUAAAGCAUCCCCAACCAGAUCUUUACCCCUGGUCUAUCCGGUCAGAGUCCUUGAUUAGUUACUCUAUUACCUCUUCUUUGGAGUCAAAACAUUUCCAUCUUGGGAGCUCCCUGGUGGUACAACAGGUUAAGGAUCUGGCGUUGUCACUGCUGUGGCUUGUGUUGCUGCUGUGGUGAGGGUUUGAUCCCUGGCUGGGGAACUUCUGGGGAACACAGGUGCGGCCAAAAAAACCCCCUCAAUUGUUCUAAAAACAUUUCUGUCUCUGAACCUCUGGCUCCCCUCUGUCAGAGGGCAUUGCAGCAGACAUAUCACAGGGGCGUCCCCUUAGCUCCUCCUGGAACUAUGCCAUCCCAAGGGACCUACUUCUGGCUACAGAUGAUUAGAUGAGAGGUAGCCACCUGACUCUUGAUAAGCCAAUCACAUUCUCUCCUAUUAGAACUGGAACGAGAGACUCAAAAUCUCCAGAGAGACAUUGAUAAGCCUGCAGUUGACAGUCUGGGACUUAGGAUCUGUUUUUAGCAAGGAGCAAGUUGGAAGGUGGAUAGCUGGAAAUUCAUCUUCAGAGAAAGGCUGGAGCAGAAACAGAUAACAGAGAAGCAGUAGAGGCUGAGAAUGGAGAGAAAGAAAGGAGGGGCAUGGCCCAGUUCCUUUCCACUUCCCAGGACCCCCAACCCAAUGUCCUGCUUUUGUUUUUCAUGUUCUCCCUUGUAACCUCCUAAGAAGCCCCCUUCUCUUAGAGCAUUUGGAUAGGUUACUGUUCUUUGUGAAAUAAAUUAUUCCUGGCUGAAGCAGAGAACACAACAAUUUGUUGGCGCUAUUGCAAGACUAAUAACAUCGUAAUAUAAAAGUAUGAUCAUGAAGCAAAUGGAGGGUAAAAAUAUGAGAAUGUUGUUGUGGCGAUUGCGUGCGAUUAUCCAUGAUAGGCAUAGUUCCUGGCACAUCAUAGGUGCGCUGACUCCCAAACAUGCCGCUAUGACCAUUACGACAACCCUUAGUGUUCCUCGAACAGCCUCCAUACACACACACAUUCCUGAGUGUGUGACUUUACUGAGGAUUUAAUAAGGAAUGGAGAAGGGUUACCUCACCUGGCACACAACUGCCCACCUCAAAUCCCAAUACAUAUCCUCUUCUACAAAGACUGUAUCCAGCCAUGGCCUACAAAGUAUUUUUUUCUUUCCUUCUCCCAAGAAGGCCCCAGACACAUGACCUCUUUUCUACCUCCAGAGUUCCCAGCUCCACCCCAGACUUGCACAGCCAAUCCCAUCCAGGUCCUCAGCAGAACAAAGGCUCUCCAUGUAAUAGUCAGCCUGUUCCCUGCUUACACUAACCAUGGCGACUGAGGUUGAGCAGACCACUGUUGGCUCCAGUGUUGGCCCUCGGAGUGAAGCUAGAUCUGGCUCUGCCAAGAGACCAACAGGACAGAACAUCAGCUCCCAUCCAGGACCGGGGUCUGAUUCAAUCUCUCCCUGACAGAUGCUGUGUGACGCUGGCGGGCACGCCCUUUGUCAGCCUUCUCCUCCCCAUUGCCCUCUCUCUCACCUCCCUUGCCCGUCUUAAGGACUCUUGAAGAUGACACAUCAGGCAAAUGCCAAGUUGUCAGUGAUGGAGGUGGAGCCUGAAUGGAACAUUAGGACUCAUCAACAAAAGCUGACAAAAGGGCAGGAAGCCCGAGGCUUGUUCUAGGGGGAAGGUGCUCUGUCUCCACAGAAGGGGAGAAGUCUGGCAGGAGAGGGAGGUUGGAGAAGCUGCGAGAAAUCCUUCUAAUGUACCCGAUAUGUCUUGACAUGUCUUGCAUCUCAUUCUCCACAAAGCUCCAAGACCAUUCAGGAAGUGGGCAUGUGUGGGAGUUUUGAAACAAUGAGGAGCUGCCAGCCCACAUCACAAUUUAACUAAAAUGGGCCCUCAGUGGCCUUUGGUCAAACGUAUUGGUUAACUUAAUUUCAUGCCCGUGCUUUCCAAUUCUACAACACAGUCACCCAGACAAUAAUUUUAUUGGCCCCAGGAACCAUGAUGCAUAUAAGCUUUUAAUUUGCCCAGUAUCCUUGCAACCUUUCUAAAAUAGAUAAAUCACUGAUAUUCAUUGUUGACCUCAAAUUUCAUCAUCACUCAAGUUUCAAGUGUGAAAUUCUGGAAAAAAAAAAAAAAAAACUACAACCCCACCCCACCCCCGCCAAGCUGAGGACAGUGGAAGGCUGUGUGUUGGAACAAGAGAUUUAUAAUAAAAAAGGAAUGAGUGACUGGUAAGAGUAGAAACAUGUGCCCAUGUAUAGUGAUAGUUGUGUAAAUGCAAACUGAAAAGACAACAAAGUAUCAUUUUCAUUCAGAAAAUUAGCAUAUACUAAGGCAUUUAUUUAUUUUUGUUUAUGAUGGCACCCACAACAUAUGGAAGUUCCCCAGCCAGGGAUCCAAUCCAAGCCAUAAAUGAGACCUAUGCCACAGCUGUGGCAAC